AGCCCUUUAGCCCAACCGGCAGAGGCAAUGGUUUCAGAGGCCAUUCAGUUUCGGUUCGAAUCCGAAAGGGGCUA
rnacentral:tRNA from 1 species